rnacentral:misc_RNA from 1 species
UGGAUUGUUUGCUGCAUAGUAGUAGAUAUUGGGGAUGUUGCCAAUGAGACUGUCAGGAUAGCAUGCAUCACUCAUCCCAACCUGCUUCCCUGGCAUGAACUCAAGAGACCCAUGGGUACCAAAGUGAAGAACAGCAUCAGCCUGGAAGAUCUUCUCAACAAAGGUGUAGUAUGCUGCAAAGCCAUGGUGAGGGCUAGCAGAUUUUGAGAACAGAAGCCGCAUCGGAUCUCCUUCAUAGCCAAAAGUGGGCUGAACUCCAAUGAAUACAUUGCCG